GAUGAACGCUGGCGGCGUGCCUAAUACAUGCAAGUCGAGCGAAUGGAUUAAGAGCUUGCUCUUAUGAAGUUAGCGGCGGACGGGUGAGUAACACGUGGGUAACCUGCCCAUAAGACUGGGAUAACUCCGGGAAACCGGGGCUAAUACCGGAUAACAUUUUGAACCGCAUGGUUCGAAAUUGAAAGGCGGCUUCGGCUGUCACUUAUGGAUGGACCCGCGUCGCAUUAGCUAGUUGGUGAGGUAACGGCUCACCAAGGCAACGAUGCGUAGCCGACCUGAGAGGGUGAUCGGCCACACUGGGACUGAGACACGGCCCAGACUCCUACGGGAGGCAGCAGUAGGGAAUCUUCCGCAAUGGACGAAAGUCUGACGGAGCAACGCCGCGUGAGCGAAGAAGGCCUUCGGGUCGUAAAGCUCUGUUGUUAGGGAAGAACAAGUACGAGAGUAACUGCUCGUACCUUGACGGUACCUAACCAGAAAGCCACGGCUAACUACGUGCCAGCCGCCGCCGUAA
rnacentral:rRNA from 1 species